GAUUUCUGGUAGUGCGCGCCCGGGCGACGUGAGCAAUCGCGCCAGUCCCGGUGUUUCGUGCAUGCCAUCCUGUACGAUACCUUCACGUACUUAACUGUACGGGAAGUGUUCGUACUCAUUUACUUUGAAAAAAUUAGAGUGUUUAAAGCAGGUGUUGCGCCUUGAAUACAUUAGCAUGGAAUAAUAAUUUAGGACUUCGGUUCUAUUUUGUUGGUUUCUAGGACUGAAGUAAUGAUUGAUAGGGAUAGUUGGGGGUGCUAGUAUUCAGCGGCCAGAGGUGAAAUUCUCGGAUUCGCUGAAGACUAACUUAUGCGAAAGCAUU
rnacentral:rRNA from 1 species